rnacentral:sRNA from 1 species
UGAUGUGAGAAUGACCUGGCUACAAAAUCUGUCACCCCAUGAUGACCAGUGUAAGAUUGGGCUCAGCUGGCUGGGCUAAAAUCCUAUUCUUCCCCCAAAGCUCCACCUCCCAAACCUGCACACUUGGGCCGAGAAGGUACAUUUCCAGGGAGAGAAUAUCUGAUUUUUGACAAGAGACACAAAUGAGGCUAGCUCUCCUGCUAUGCACUUUAAACAAGAUGGCAGGUUCCAUUUGUCAUCAAACUGCAACUUGUUCUUUUAUUUACAUUUGUUAAAU